AACCGGCGAUUUCCGAAUGGGGAAACCCAGUGUGUUUCGACACACUAUCAUUAACUGAAUCCAUAGGUUAAUGAGGCGAACCGGGGGAACUGAAACAUCUAAGUACCCCGAGGAAAAGAAAUCAACCGAGAUUCCCCCAGUAGCGGCGAGCGAACGGGGAGGAGCCCAGAGCCUGAAUCAGUGUGUGUGUUAGUGGAAGCGUCUGGAAAGGCGCGCGAUACAGGGUGACAGCCCCGUACACAAAAAUGCACAUAUUGUGAGCUCGAUGAGUAGGGCGGGACACGUGGUAUCCUGUCUGAAUAUGGGGGGACCAUCCUCCAAGGCUAAAUACUCCUGA
rnacentral:rRNA from 1 species